rnacentral:rRNA from 1 species
UACAUGCAAGUAGAACGCUGAAGAGAGGUGCUUGCUCUUCUUGGAUGAGUUGCGAACGGGUGAGUAACGCGUAGGUAACCUGCCUUGUAGCGGGGGAUAACUAUUGGAAACGAUAGCUAAUACCGCAUAACAAUGGAUGACACAUGUCAUUUAUUUGAAAGGGGCAAUUGCUCCACUACAAGAUGGACCUGCGUUGUAUUAGCUAGUAGGUGAGGUAACGGCUCACCUAGGCGACGAUACAUAGCCGACCUGAGAGGGUGAUCGGCCACACUGGGACUGAGACACGGCCCAGACUCCUACGGGAGGCAGCAGUAGGGAAUCUUCGGCAAUGGGGGCAACCCUGACCGAGCAACGCCGCGUGAGUGAAGAAGGUUUUCGGAUCGUAAAGCUCUGUUGUAAGUCAAGAACGAGUGUGAGAGUGGAAAGUUCACACUGUGACGGUAGCUUACCAGAAAGGGACGGCUAACUACGUGCCAGCAGCCGCGGUAAUACGUAGGUCCCGAGCGUUGUCCGGAUUUAUUGGGCGUAAAGCGAGCGCAGGCGGUUUGAUAAGUCUGAAGUUAAAGGCUGUGGCUUAACCAUAGUACGCUUUGGAAACUGUUUAACUUGAGUGCAGAAGGGGAGAGUGGAAUUCCAUGUGUAGCGGUGAAAUGCGUAGAUAUAUGGAGGAACACCGGUGGCGAAAGCGGCUCUCUGGUCUGUAACUGACGCUGAGGCUCGAAAGCGUGGGGAGCAAACAGGGUUAGAUACCCUGGUAGUCCACGCCGUAAACGAUGAGUGCUAGGUGUUGGGUCCUUUCCGGGACUCAGUGCCGCAGCUAACGCAUUAAGCACUC